GGGCCCGCACAAGCGGUGGAGCAUGUGGUUUAAUUCGAUGAUACGCGAGGAACCUUACCAGGGCUUAAAUGUAGUUUGACCGGUCUGGAAACAGACUUUCUCUUCGGAGCAGAUUACAAGGUGCUGCAUGGUUGUCGUCAGCUCGUGCCGUGAGGUGUUAGGUUAAGUCCUGCAACGAGCGCAACCCCUAUUCUUAGUUGCCAGCGGUUCGGCCGGGGACUCUAAGAAGACUGCCAGCGCAAGCUGAGAGGAAGGUGGGGAUGACGUCAAAUCAUCACGGCCCUUACGUCCUGGGCUACACACGUGCUACAAUGGUUAAGACAAAGAGUUGCGAGCUUGUAAAAGUCAGCUAA
rnacentral:rRNA from 1 species